rnacentral:rRNA from 1 species
UUAGGAAUUUUGCGCAAUGGACGAAAGUCUGACGCAGCGACAUCGCGUGUGGGAUGACGGCCCUCGGGUUGUAAACCACUUUUUAGGAGCCAUGAAGGCGCCUAGAAUAAGGAACUACUAACUACGUGCCAGCAGUCGCGGUAAUACGUAGGUUCCAAGCGUUACCCGGUUUUAUUGGGCGUAAAGCGUCUGUAGGUGGUUUUCUAAGUCUUGUUUCAAAGUCCCCGACUUAAUCGGGGGAAGGGGCAGGAUACUGGAAGGCUAGAGUUAUAUCGGGGUUACUGGAAUUUAUAGUGUAGGGGUAAAAUCCGUGGAUACUAUAAAGAACACCAAGCGCGAAGGCGGGUAACCAGGUAUAUACUGACACUCAGAGACGAAAGCUAGGGGAGUCAAUCAGAUU